GACGAACGCUGGCGGCGUGCCUAAUACAUGCAAGUCGAACGCAGUGGGGACGGGUGAGUAACACGUGGGUAACCUACCAUCAGAGGGGAGAACACUUGGAAACAGGUGCUAAACCGAGACUGAUGGAUGGACCCGCGGUGCAUUAGCUAGUUGGUGAGGUAACGGCUCACCAGGGCCACGGUGCAUAUCCGACCGGAGAGGGUGAUCGGCCACACUGGGACGUAGACACGGCCCAGACUCCUACGGGAGGCAGCAGUAGGGAAUCUUCGGCAAUGGACGAAAGUCUGACCUAGCAACGCCGCGUGUGUGAAGAAGGUUUUCGGAUCGUAAAACGCUUUUGUUAGAGAAGCGGUAUCUAACCAGAAAGCCACGGCUAACUACGUGCCAGCAGCCGCGGUAAUAC
rnacentral:rRNA from 1 species